AUGAACGCUGGCGGCGUGCCUAAUACAUGCAAGUCGAGCGAACGGACGAGAAGCUUGCUUCUCUGAUGUUAGCGGCGGACGGGUGAGUAACACGUGGAUAACCUACCUAUAAGACUGGGAUAACUUCGGGAAACCGGAGCUAAUACCGGAUGAUAUUUUGAACCGCAUGGUUCAAAAGUGAAAGACGGUCUUGCUGUCACUUAUAGAUGGAUCCGCGCUGCAUUAGCUAGUUGGUAAGGUAACGGCUUACCAAGGCAACGAUGCAUAGCCGACCUGAGAGGGUGAUCGGCCACACUGGAACUGAGACACGGUCCAGACUCCUACGGGAGGCAGCAGUAGGGAAUCUUCCGCAAUGGACGAAAGCCUGACGGAGCAACGCCGCGUGAGUGAUGAAGGUCUUCGGAUCGUAAAACUCCGUUAUUAGGGAAGAACAUAUGUGUAAGUAACUGUGCACAUCUUGACGGUACCUAAUCAGAAAGCCACGGCUAACUACGUG
rnacentral:rRNA from 1 species